rnacentral:rRNA from 1 species
AACGACCGCUGGCGGCACGUUUUAAGCAUGCAAGUCGAACGGAAGUGGGGGCAACCCCAUGAGAGUGGCGAACGGGUGAGUAACACGUAGGUGAUCAGCCUUUGGGUUGGGGAUAGCUUGUGGAAACACAGGGUAAUACCGAAUGAGCUGACGAGGCUUUGGCCAUGUUAGUAAAGGUGCUACGGCACCGCCUAGAGAGGAGCCUGCGGCUGAUUAGCUAGUUGGAGGGGUAAAGGCCUACCAAGGCGACGCUCAGUGGCCGUCCUGAGCGGGUGUACGGCCACACUGUAACUGUGACACGGUCCAGACUCCUACGGGAAGCAGCAGCUGAGAAUGUUCCGCAAUGGGCGAAAGCCUGACGGAGGGAUGCCGCGUGAUCGAUGAAGGUCGAGAGAUUGUAAAGAUCUUUUCCAACUGAGGAAUAAGUGGACCAGGGAAUGGGUUCAUGAUGACGUUAAGUUGGGAAUAAGCCCCUGCUAAUUACGUGCCAGCCGCCGCCGUAA